GACGAACGCUGGCGGCGUGCCUAAUACAUGCAAGUAGAACGCUGAAGGAAGAGCUUGCUUCUCUGGAUGAGUUGCGAACGGGUGAGUAACGCGUAGGUAACCUGCCUGGUAGCGGGGGAUAACUAUUGGAAACGAUAGCUAAUACCGCAUAAGAGUAGAUGUCGCAUGACAUUUGCUUAAAAGGUGCAAUUGCAUCACUACCAGAUGGACCUGCGUUGUAUUAGCUAGUUGGUGAGGUAACGGCUCACCAAGGCAACGAUACAUAGCCGACCUGAGAGGGUGAUCGGCCACACUGGGACUGAGACACGGCCCAGACUCCUACGGGAGGCAGCAGUAGGGAAUCUUCGGCAAUAGACGGAAGUCUGACCGAGCAACGCCGCGUGAGUGAAGAAGGGUGUCGGAUCGUAAAGCUCGGUUGUAAGAGAAGAACGAGUGUGAGAGUGGAAAGUUCACACUGUGACGGUAUCUUACCAGAAAGGGACGGCUAACUACGUG
rnacentral:rRNA from 1 species